AAACUACUUGACGUUCCUCCCGAUCUGACUGACCACUGAUGAGGUGUACUUGGGCCCACCAGAAUCUCCUCAAAGUGAAUCAAAAUGCCAGUGACACCCAUCCCCGGCCCAGAUGUCAUCUUUGAAUAAACAGGGUGUCAGUCUGGCUGUGCUCCUACUGCCUGCAGACAGCCUCUGUCAGCGUCAGACCAGGAAAUGCCACCUCUCUGCUGACAGCUGCCUGUGCCGUACUCACACCGGCACCCGCAGGGAGAGCCCUGCAGCUCCCCACCCGGCUCCGCGCACUGCCAUCCUAAGUGCAGAUCCCCAAACCUGCCGUGCAACGCCCUGACAGCACUUCACUGUAUAUCUAAAUAGAGCAGGAGCCCGGCGUGUCCCAGGGAAACUUUUACAUUCUGCUCCAUUCAGGGAGGAUUUGUCACUUGGGAAGGAGGAUAAUGAAGCAGUGUUUCUUCGCUGGUUGUUCAAGGCAGUCCUUUCCCGUAGACAUGGUAAUGGCUGGAUUGGAUUAAAUGAGCUCUCCUCCUUGUCAGUCAAGGUGAGGACGGUUGAGAUCUGUGGAACGUUUAGGUUUUGUUUUAAGCUGCAAGGGUAUUCAAUGAAUAUGAUAAAGUUGAAAAAAAAAUGAAAUGUUUUUUUUUGUCAGAGCUAAACCCACAGCCAAAGUAAAUUGCAAAUAUAAUCCUUGUCAAUGGUAAAGUUACCUUUUUCCCUUGUUUGGUGUGACGUCCAAAAUCCCAAUGGAAAUGUGUUAUUAUACCCAUGCCACUAUUUUAGUCUGGAUCAAUGGAAAUACAUUUUCAGCAUAAUUGCCUGACAUACAGCGUGUGAGCCUCACCUUCCGCUCUCUGUGUGUUGCCGUUCUCAAACUGUUCGCUUCAGGAAACAACAAACUUCGAGCUAGCAAGCUAGCCUACACCCUGAAAAUGGCAAGUGUUGUGAAAAUCUGGACCGUGCAACAAGGCCGGCUUUGUUCUUUCAGGGAAUGAUUAUAGAAAUUUACAAGGAAUAUGUUUACAGCAUUUCGUCUCUAAUUGGG